CGUCUAAUAGCUCAGUUGGUAGAGCACUUCGCUGAUAACGGAGAGGUCCCUGGUUCAAGUCCAGGUUAGACGACCA
rnacentral:tRNA from 1 species